AUUGAACGCUGGCGGCAGGCAUAACACAUGCAAGUCGAGCGGAGCGGCGGACGGGUGAGUAAUGCUCAGGUAUCUGACUGGUAGUGGGGGAUAACGAAAGGAACCGGGCGCUAAUACCGCUUACUAUCAGAUGAGCCUAGGACGGAAUAGCCAGCUGGUGGGGUAAAGGUCUACCAAGGCGACGAUCCGUAACCGGUCUUAGAGGAUGAUCAUUCACUAUGGAACGGAGGCACGGUCCAGACUCCUACUGGAGGCAGCAGUGGAUAAGAUUGUACAAUGGGCGAAAGCCUGAUCAAGCCAUGCCGCGUGUGUGAAGAAGGUCUUCGGAUUGUAAAGCACUUUAAGUUGGGAGGCGUUACCCACAGAAUAAGCACCGGCUAACUUCGUGCCAGCAGCCGCGGUAAUAC
rnacentral:rRNA from 1 species